GACGAACCGUGCGAACGUUGUUCGGAAUCACUGGGCUUAAAGGGCGCGUAGGCGGGUCAGCAAGUCCGGGGUGAAAUCUUUCAGCUCAACUGGAAAAGUGCCUUGGAUACUGCUGGUCUUGAGGGAGGUAGGGGCCUGCGGAACUUCUGGUGGAGCGGUGAAAUGCGUUGAUAUCAGAAGGAACGCCGGUGGCGAAAGCGGCGGGCUGGACCUCUUCUGACGCUGAGGCGCGAAAGCUAGGGGAGCAAACGGG
rnacentral:rRNA from 1 species